rnacentral:rRNA from 1 species
UACAGAGGUGGCAAGCGUUGUUCGGAAUUACUGGGCGUAAAGGGCGCGUAGGCGGCCUUCUAAGUCAGACGUGAAAUCCCCCGGCUUAACCUGGGAUCUGCGUCUGAUACUGGGAGGCUUGAGUAUGGGAGAGGGAUGUAGAAUUCCAGGUGUAGCGGUGAAAUGCGUAGAUAUCUGGAGGAAUACCGGUGGCGAAGGCGGCAUCCUGGACCAUAACUGACGCUGAGGCGCGAAAGCUAGGGGAGCAAACGGG